rnacentral:lncRNA from 1 species
UAGCUUUUUGAUGUAAUGCAUCCAUUGGGCUCGAUUAAUAGUCCAAGUUUUGUUACUCCGGUUUGGGCCUGUCCAACCGUGAGCUGAUAGGGUUUAAUAUAAAUUGAUAUGCUUGCAUGCAUAUUAGACUAACGAUUGAGAAAAUUAUUGAUAGCAAUUACGAUAGAUUACAGAUUAUUUUCAUCGUUCUUGUAAACCCUAAAUCCUCUACAGUAGAAGUUCUUUAUCGAGCUCUGCUGAGGAUUGUUGAUCAAUCAUUCGACACACUUUGAUCCUUUCUUGUGUUAUUCGCUGUUUUCAUAUUUAUUAUUUUACCUGUUAUANAUUUAUUAUUUACCUGUUAUAAAGAUCUAAUCGAUCUUCAAGUUAUUUAUUAACUCUUCAUAAACGAAUUACCUACUCAAAUUUUAUUUGAUUUUGGAGCCAACUACUCAUUUAUUUCGCAUGAGUUUGGUAGAAAACUAGCUUUGCCUGUUGAUAGACUAGAAAAUGCUUUAUUAGUCGAAGUUGCUAGUGGCAAAUUUGUACCUGUUAGCCAUCGUAUGAAAGACGUCUUAAUCGACCUUAAUGGGAAUAAGUUUCACGAGGAAUUAUUGCCUAUCGAACUUAGUGGUUUCGACAUCGUUCUGGGAAUGGAUUGGCUUAGCGCCAAUGAUGCUGACAUAUUGUGCAAGAAGAAGAUAGUUAAAGUAAACCCGCCUGGGAAGGAUUCAUUUAUGGUGUACGGGGACAAACGGCGAGUAAAUUCUAGAAUCAUUUCUCUAAUGAAAGCCAGAAAGUGUUUGACCAAGGGAUGUACAUCAUAUUUAGCAUUCGUGAUUGAUGCUAAGAAGGAAAAGAAGGUGAUGCAGAGUAUUCCAGUGGUGUGUGAUUAUCCCGAAGUAUUUCCCGAAGAUCUUCCUGGAUUACCACCUGAUAGACAAGUGGAAUUCAGAAUUGACUUGUUACCAGGAACCACGCCAAUAGCAAAAGCACCUUAUCGAUUAGCACCGACGGAGAUGAAGGAGCUUAUGAUGCAACUUCAGGAGUUAGGACAAAGGUUUCAUUAGACCUAGUUCAUCGCCCUGGGGAGCUCCGGUGUUAUUUGUAAAGAAGAAAGAUGGAAGUAUGAGAAUGUGCAUCGAUUACAGAGAGCUGAACAAGGCAACAAUAAAGAAUAGAUAUCCGUUGCCGAGGAUUGAUGACCUGUUUGAUCAAUUGCAAGGUUCGAGCUAUUUCUCGAAGAUCGAUCUUAGGUCAGGAUAUCAUCAGCUGAAAGUAAGAGAGCAAG